rnacentral:rRNA from 1 species
UACGUAGGGGGCAAGCGUUGUCCGGAAUUAUUGGGCGUAAAGAGCGCGUAGGCGGUCCGGUAAGUCGGCUGUGAAAGUCGGGGGCUCAACCCUCGAAUGCCGGUGGAUACUGUCGGGCUAGAGUGCGGAAGAGGCGAGUGGAAUUCCUGGUGUAGCGGUGAAAUGCGCAGAUAUCAGGAGGAACACCUAUUGCGAAGGCAGCUCGCUGGGACGUAACUGACGCUGAGACGCGAAAGCGUGGGGAGCAAACAGG